AACAGGAUUAGAUACCCUGGUAGUCCACGCUGUAAACGGUGGGUACUAGGUGUGGGGUCCAUUCCACGGAUUCUGUGCCGUAGCUAACGCAUUAAGUACCCCGCCUGGGGAGUACGGCCGCAAGGCUAAAACUCAAAGGAAUUGACGGGGCCCCGUACAAGCGGCGGAGCAUGCGGAUUAAUUCGAUGCAACGCGAAGAACCUUACCUGGGUUUGACAUGGAUCGGAAGCUUCCAGAGAUGGUUGUGCCUCCUUUGGGGUCGGUUCACAGGCGGUGCAUGGCUGUCGUCAGCUCGUGUCGUGAGAUGUUGGGUUAAGUCCCGCAACGAGCGCAACCCUCGUCCACUGUUGCCAGCAAUUCGGUUGGGGACUCAGUGGAGACCGCCGGGGUCAACUCGGAGGAAGGUGGGGAUGACGUCAAGUCAUCAUGCCCCUUAUGUCCAGGGCUUCACGCAUGCUACAAUGGCCGGUACAGUGAGUUGCGACAUCGUAAGGUGGAGCGAAUCUCAAAAAGCCGGCCUCAGUUCGGAUUGGGGUCUGCAACUCGACCUCAUGAAGUCGGAGUCGCUAGUAAUCGCAGAUCAGCAACGCUGCGGUGAAUACGUUCCCGGGGCUUGUACACACCGCCCGUCAAGUCAUGAAAGUCGGUAACACUCGAAGCCGGUGGCCUAACACUUUUUGUGGGGGAGCUGUCUAAGGUGGGACUGGUGAUUAGGACUAAGUCGUAACAAGGUAACC
rnacentral:rRNA from 1 species